rnacentral:rRNA from 1 species
GAUGAACGCUGGCGGCGUGCCUAAUACAUGCAAGUCGAGCGAACAGACGAGAAGCUUGCUUCUCUGAUGUUAGCGGCGGACGGGUGAGUAACACGUGGAUAACCUACCUAUAAGACUGGGAUAACUUCGGGAAACCGUAGCUAAUACCGGAUAAUAUUUUGAACCGCAUGGUUCAAAAGUGAAAGACGGUCUUGCUGUCACUUAUAGAUGGAUCCGCGCUGCAUUAGCUAGUUGGUAAGGUAACGGCUUACCAAGGCAACGAUGCAUAGCCGACCUGAGAGGGUGAUCGGCCACACUGGAACUGAGACACGGUCCAGACUCCUACGGGAGGCAGCAGUAGGGAAUCUUCCGCAAUGGGCGAAAGCCUGACGGAGCAACGCCGCGUGAGUGAUGAAGGUCUUCGGAUCGUAAAACUCUGUUAUUAGGGAAGAACAAAUGUGUAAGUAACUGUGCACAUCUUGACGGUACCUAAUCAGAAAGCCACGGCUAACUACGUG